GACAGAGGCCUCAAGCGUUAGGCGGAAUCACUGGGCUUAAAGCGUGUGUAGGCGGACCCCUAAGUACCUUGUGAAAUCCCACGGCUCAACCGUGGAACGGCUGGGUAUACUGGGGGUCUUGGGCCAUUCAGGGGCGACUGGAACAAGCGGUGGAGCGGUGAAAUGCGUAGAUAUCGCUUGGAACGCCGAAGGUGAAAACAGGUCGCUGGGGAUGUGCCGACGCUGAGACACGAAAGCCAGGGGAGCAAACGGG
rnacentral:rRNA from 1 species